UAGAACACACGUGGGUGGAUGACGCUGCCGGGACACGUUUCGAGAGGAGAAGUCUGUUGCUGACGUGGCGAUGAGUUUGAUGCUGUCACUGCUUACGUUUUUCGUGUAGAGGGGAGUGGGGUCCACUCAGUUCCAAAUCCAACCGGUCCGAUACGACCGAACCACGAUGGGGUCUAUCUCUGUGGAUUCUUCGUUUCCGGUCGGUGGAUCUGUGGUCCCCCUUUCUCCCGUAAUUUACUAAUUUCUUUUCUUUUCUUUUCUUUUCUUUUUUGUCUUUUUGCAAAAGGUUCAUAGCAUAUAUUAAAGCGGUAAACUAAAAGUGGACCGGACCGUAAGAGACAGAUCCAAAAUUACUCUUAAUACUGAAAAAAGGAUUCAGGCCCCCCCCCCCCCCCCCCCUCAGUCUACUCUUAAUCAAUGCUGGGCUGUUCGGCCCGCGUGCCAUUCCCACAACGAAUCGACCAAAAUGUCAUUUUCUCGUAACCGUACAAUAUUGAAUUUAAUAGUGUAACUAGAUCAUGACCCGCGCGACCGCGCGAGUUUUAUUUUUGUUUUAAUACAUUUCGAGUUUGUCCAAUUCUUUUUUUGUGUUUAAAGAACAAUAUUAAAACUGUGUUUUGUAUUAGUAGUUUUUCAUCGGUGUAUUAGAGAUAUAACCGUGCAGUGAAAACACUCACAUAAUAUUAAGUACGAUUUGGAUCAAAAAAACUGUGUAUUAUAGAUGUACUGUGAAACACUAACCUAAUAGUAACCAAUACGAUUUGGAUUAACAUAUCUAUGUAUUAUAAACAUAAACAUAAGGUGAAAAUACUAAUCUAAUAUUAACCAAACAUCCCUGAAGUCUUCAUUAUAAUUCUAAUAAAAUAAGUGUAAUAAUAAGAUAGAUAAACAAAUGCGUAUAUUUUUAAAAAGAUAAUUAAUAGAUUAAUCCCAUUUGGAUAUAUAAAUGUUUAAAUUGUUAGAUAUAACAAUUUAUUUGGUCAAGUAAUUUAAAUAAAGUGUACUAAUCGAAAAAAAAUAUAGUUUUAAUUUUUUUUAUUAAUAGAACAGUAUUUUCAAUGUGUAUGCAAGAAUUCCAAUAAAUAAAGAAAAACAAUGUGUUUGGUUAAAAAAUUAAGUGCAAUAAUAAAAUUGUUUUUGUUUUAUAUUUAACGGCAAUCUAACUAUUAUGAUCCAUAAAGGAAAAUUUUAUUGUAAAUGCACAUGUCCAUAUCAAAACAAUAAACCCAUUAGUAACAACAAUUGUCCAGGAAAAGAAAUAAUAAAAACGGUUACCCUUUAUUUUAUUUUUUUUGCUUUAUUUUUUCUACAGACAUAAACAUUUUAGUGGGAGGUAAUGAAUAUUUCCUAACCUCUUAAGUUAGGUAUAAUAAAUACAAAAUCUCAUGAUUUUAUUGAAACCGAGAUUUUAGGUGUAGUGGAAUAAACUUGGAGAAGGGGGUUUUCCAUAUUAAUGAUUUUAAAAUCUGGCAAAUCGAUUUUGACGGAGAAUUUUAAAUCUCCAUAUUUGAUUGUUACCGAGAUUUUAGGCAUAGAAUGCACAACUUGGGGAAGGGGUUUUGUUAUAAACGUUUUUUUGUAAGUAUAAACUGAUGUUUCUGUUAUUGAAAUAAGAAUAUACGGGAAUAUAUUAUAUUUAGUGUACAUUAAAAUCAAAUCCGGAGAUUUAAAUUUAAAUUAUACGACCAUAUGAAGUUUUUAAAAUAUGAAGUUUUUAAAAAUAAAAUGACUACUCAAUGUUGCUAACCCAUCAAUGUGAUACAGACCAUAGACAGUUUUUAAAAUAUAAUGACAAACAAUGAUUUAGAUAUACGACCAUAUGAAGUUUUUUAUAAUAUAAUAACUACUCAAUGUUGCUUCCAUCAAUGUGAUAUGGACCAAUGUAAAGAGAGGGUUGUUAUAUAUUGUAAUAUGAUAUAAUAUAAGUACGACACUGUGAGUAUAUGUAUAUAUGUUAAUGUUUCACAUUAAAGCUAAUGUGACAAUAAAAUAGAUAUUUUUUAAUAGAUGUUUUUUCAAUAAUGUGACGAAAUAAUAUAUGUAUAAUAAUAGAUGUAUAAUGUGAACAUAUAAUAAGAUAGAUCUUACGGUGGAUUUAAAUCGAGAUAUGGUGGAGUUAAAUGAUAAUUGGUUGAUAUUGAACUGAUUAAGGAAAUAUUUAAAUGUAAGGUUACAUUAAGAAUAAUAAUGUGAUGUCCAACUUUAAAAUCUACCUAGAAAAAGUUGUAAUGUUUCUGUUUUAAUAAGAUAGAUGGCAUUCCAUAGUAAAUAUUAGGUAAAAGUAAGGGUUAAGUAUUAAUUGUACUUCACUUUUAAUAGAUUAGAUAUGAAUACAUGGCAUCAUCAUAACACAUGCAAACCGAAUCAUACCAAAGAUAUGGGGUAACAUCAAUCUUAUUAUUACCAAAUGGUUUUUCUAAUGUCUUCAGUAUAUAUUUAUUCUUCUUUAUUCGCCGC
rnacentral:lncRNA from 1 species